rnacentral:rRNA from 1 species
CACAYGACUCUCGGCAACGGAUAUCUCGGCUCUCGCAUCGAUGAAGAACGUAGCAAAAUGCGAUACCUGGUGUGAAUUGCAGAAUCCCGUGAACCAUCGAGUUUUUGAACGCAAGUUGCGCYCGAGGCCUUCUGGCUGAGGGCACGUCUGCCUGGGCGUCACGC